UCAAAGCAGUUUAUUCAGGAUCCUUUC
rnacentral:piRNA from 1 species